AAGAUUUUAAGAUAAAAAUAAAUAAUCUUUUAACCUUCAAAGUUAAAUAUAUAAUAAAAUUAUAAAUCUUA
rnacentral:tRNA from 3 species